AUAGGUAUUUUCUUAAAUAUUAUACAUAUCACACAUUAAAAUCCACAACUGAAAACUGAAACACUAAAGAUUUUAUCCUAUAGUCUACUCACAUAGAAUACAUGAUUUCUACCAGAUGACAGAUAUUCAAAGAAGGUUCUCCAUAAGUGGACAUGAGAUUUUAUUAUCUUAUGAAGGACCUGCUUUCAAGGAAACGGACAGCAAAUGUUAUUAGUGCUCAUAACAGCUACGAGAAAGCACCCACUGACCCUAGACAUCGCUAACUGGAAAACCUAGUCCACAUCCUAGACCCUCAGGACGGCCCUAUGUCAAAGCUGUAAGGACAAGCUACUCCCACUUAGUUCAGUGACACACAGAGAAGCACUCCUCUUUUGAAAGGAAAUCAGCACCGGUGUGCCACAUUGCUGUUCUCUGUAUCUGUGAUGUAAGAGUUGUUCUCGGGAUAUAUCGAACUUGGAGCUUCCUGUUCAACAGGAGUGGGCAUUUCCUGGUUUAUGACACCUGUAAAUGAAGUAUUCUAGGGAGUAGAUGGAUGUUAGAACGUCAAGAGGUUCCUCAGCCAUAGGAUAAAGUUGAUAAAAAGUUGUGUUGACUGCUAUUACUUGAGUGAUACAGGGAAGGUACGUCUACACAUAAUCUACCUGAAAUACUGAUUAAUUGAAAUAGUCGCCUCAACUAGGCAAGAAAAAUUUCAUUCGAAAUUAACCGGGAAAUUGCUCCAGUUUUUUGUUUGCAGGAGCUUUUCAGAUCAGCAUUAUGGGUGUCUCAAAGCUGUGCCAGAUUGCUAGGCUCAGGUCUGUUAGAGACUCUUCAGAACAUCUAAUCCAAUGAUUGUGGGCUGCGGGCCCCAGAGAAGCCAAGCAGUUGGGAUACACGCAAGCAACUGUACAGUUACACGUCUGCAUUCGUCAGCGGUAGCAGCCUGAGCCUCUGGUUACCAGACUAGAGACUUUUCUCCUGCAAUCUUGUAGCUGUUCAAGAGAAUACGGAAUUGAUGGUGAAAAAGCAGAAUUCAUGAAGCCAUAGACAUCGAUUUGAAAGAAAUACUUCAGAAUCUGAAACUCUGCAUCUUGCUCUGUUGUUUUAGAAAAAAAAACAAACAUAUCACCACUUGAUAUAUAAUUUCUGAAUCUAAUUUCUUCUUCAGCUGAUGAACUGGAACAGAUCCAUUGCUGUUUGAAGAAUGGACUGGAAAGGGGCCAAACAGCUAGAAAGCCACCGUAUUCCAACCAAGAAGUGAUGGUGCCUGGCCAGUGAAAUGGUUCCGUGAGUAAAGGCAAUGACUGUGCUAGUCUGGGAUGUCCGUCCGAUCCCUGGAGCUCAUACAAGUACUGAAGGAGAGAACUGACUCCUCCAGGUUGUCCUCUGAUCUCUACAGGCACUCCUUGGCAAUGACUCUUCCCCCUCAUCAGGUACAUAAUGCACAAUAAUAAUAAUAAAAUAAAAUUGUGAAAAAGAGGGACGAUGAUGCCUUGGAAGAGGUCUACAAGAGCGGAAAUACAGAGCCGAGAACGUGCUAGAGGUACGGUACACAGACAGAAGCCACGGGGCUAAGGAUCCGGCAGGAAGUGGACAACUAAUCCCAGUGCCAACAACAGACAGUUUGUGGAAGCAAACGUCUUAUUUCACGAUGGCCUUAUGCAUGGUAAAACCUGGAAUCUGAAUUAAAUUGGCAAGUCAAAUUCUUGUAUUU